GGAAUAGGACGUGUGGUUCUAUUUUGUUGGUUUCUAGGACCGCCGUAAUGAUUAAUAGGGACAGUCGGGGGCAUCAGUAUUCAAUUGUCAGAGGUGAAAUUCUUGGAUCUAUUGAAGACUAACUACUGCGAAAGCAUUUGCCAAGGAUGUUUUCAUUGAUAAGGAACGAAAGUUAGGGGAUCGAAGACGAUCAAAUACCGUCGUAGUCUUAACUAUAAACUAUGCCGACUAGGGAUCGGACGAUGUUAUUUCUUGACGCGUUCGGCACCUUUCGAGAAAUCAAAGUGCUUGGGCUCCAGGGGGAGUAUGGUCGCAAGGCUGAAACUUAAAGAAAUUGACGGAAGGGCACCACCAGGGGUGGAACCUGCGGCUUAAUUUGACUCAACACGGGGAAACUCACCAGGUCCAGACACAGUGAGGAUUGACAGAUUGAGAGCUCUUUCUUGAUUCUGUGGGUGGUGGUGCAUGGCCGUUCUUAGUUGGUGGAGUGAUUUGUCUGCUUAAUUGCGAUAACGAACGAGACCUUAACCUGCUAAAUAGCCCGUACUGCUUUGGCAGUUCGCCGGCUUCUUAGAGGGACUAUCGGCUCAAGCCGAUGGAAGUUUGAGGCAAUAACAGGUCUGUGAUGCCCUUAGAUGUCCUGGGCCGCACGCGCGUUACACUGACAGGGCCAGCGGAGUACCUCCUUGGACCGGAAAGGUCCGGGAAUCUGACACUCCAU
rnacentral:rRNA from 1 species